UACGUAGGGGGCAAGCGUUGUCCGGAUUUAUUGGGCGUAAAGAGCGUGUAGGCGGCUAGAUAGGUCCGUUGUGAAAACUCGAGGCUCAACCUCGAGACGUCGAUGGAAACCAUCUGGCUAGAGUCCGGAAGAGGAGAGUGGAAUUCCUGGUGUAGCGGUGAAAUGCGCAGAUAUCAGGAAGAACACCCGUGGCGAAGGCGGCUCUCUGGACAGUUCCUGACACUGAGGCACGAAGGCCAGGGGAGCAAACGGG
rnacentral:rRNA from 1 species